AUGGAGUCCGCUGUUGCAUUGUUGGUUUGUCUGCCAACUUCUUCAUCGAGCCGCUGCUACAGGUAACUGCUCUGAUGAAGGGUGUGGCUGUGGCUCAGAUGUUGUGCCGCAAUUACUGCAGCACACUCCAUUUUCAGGCGAUUGACUGCCUCACUACACUUGGAGGAACUACGGAAUCCGAGUGUUUUAAAUCUGGGGUCUAAAAGUGUUGAUAGGGUCAACACACUUAAUGACUCCAGAUUAGAAGCAGUGUCUGUGACACGACGGCUCAGUUGGUCAUGGAGAUGGGUGGCUGCUUGUCUGUGUAGAUGUAAAGAGUUCUGCUCAAGUGCACAAUAUAGCAUUUUCAUCAUCAUCAUCACCUUUGAUCCUGAAACUGUCCUCUCCUCAGACAACUCCACUGUGGCCUGAUGGAAAGGGGCCAGCACAGGAAGUGCUUCCCUUACGAUGUUACACUCAUCAGCUGUAAGUGGAGUUAAAUAUGUUGGAAGAGAAGCAACAGAUACCCAAACUGGUUCUUUCUCAUCAUGUAGCCGUGACAGCAUCUGAUAUGUGCUGUUCCAACAUGUUGGUACCUCGUUGACAAGUUUCAAGACGGGCCAUCCCACCUGAUGCUGCACUUGAGCAAGCUUUUCGUUGGCUGUAGUGCUGGAUCUGAAGAAUGAUAUGAUUUGUCUACAUUUGUCUCUUAUGGAUGAAAGUUCAGGGAUUUGAUCACAUGAUUUCUUGACUAAUAAAUUGAGUUUGUGUGCAAUGCAAACUGAAUGUCACAUUUGGAGAGUUCUUGUUGCUGCAAUCAUGUUUGGUGCUGCAUUGGUCACAAGACACCUUACCUUAUUUGUGAUGGCCCAGUCAUCCAUCAUGCCCGUUUUAAAUUGGGCCAAAUUGUCUGCAGUGUGACUUUGUGGAAAGUGUUUCACACCCAACACAGAUGUACACAACUGCAUAUUCUCAUUAAUGUAGUGACAGG